rnacentral:rRNA from 1 species
AUUGAACGCUGGCGGCAGGCCUAACACAUGCAAGUCGAGCGGAUGAAGGGAGCUUGCUCCUGGAUUCAGCGGCGGACGGGUGAGUAAUGCCUAGGAAUCUGCCUGGUAGUGGGGGAUAACGUCCGGAAACGGGCGCUAAUACCGCAUACGUCCUGAGGGAGAAAGGGGGGGAUCUUCGGACCUCACGCUAUCAGAUGAGCCUAGAUCGGAUUAGCUAGUUGGUGGGGUAAAGGCCUACCAAGGCGACGAUCCGUAACUGGUCUGAGAGGAUGAUCAGUCACACUGGAACUGAGACACGGUCCAGACUCCUACGGGAGGCAGCAGUGGGGAAUAUUGGACAAUGGGCGAAAGCCUGAUCCAGCCAUGCCGCGUGUGUGAAGAAGGUCUUCGGAUUGUAAAGCACUUUAAGUUGGGAGGAAGGGCAGUAAGUUAAUACCUUGCUGUUUUGACGUUACCAACAGAAUAAGCACCGGCUAACUUCGUG